rnacentral:rRNA from 1 species
AAUUUUGGACAAUAGGGGCAACCCUGAUCCAGCCAUCCCGCGUGUGCGAUGAAGGCCUUCGGGUUGUAACGCACUUUUGGCAGGGGAGAAAUAUGUCCGGCUAAUAUUCGGACUGACUGACGGUACCUGCAGAAUAAGCACCGGCUAACUACGUGCCAGCAGCCGCGGUAAUACGUAGGGUGCAAGCGUUAAUCGGAAUUACUGGGCGUAAAGCGUGCGCAGGCGGUUCGGAAAGAAGGAUGUGAAAUCCCAGGGCUUAACCUUGGAACUGCAUUUUUAACUACCGAGCUAGAGUAUGCCAGAGGGGGGUAGAAUUCCACGGGUAGCAGUGAAAUGCGUAGAGAUGUGGAGGAAUACCGAUGGCGAAGGCAGCCCCCUGGGAUAAUACUGACGCUCAUGCACGAAAGCGUGGGGAGCAAACA